GGCAGCAGCCCCUGACUCGGCCUCAUUUGCAUCCUGGGCAGCUCUCUCCACCAGGGGAUAAAACAGGCCUGGGAGGCCCCUGCCCAGCCCGGGCCUCGGAAGCAACCUAGAGGGUAUCUCCACCAUGGCCUGGACCCCUCUCCUCCUCAGCCUUCUGGCUCACUGCACAGGGUCUGUGGCCUCGUAUGUGCUCACGCAGCCACCCUCGGUGUCAGUGGCCCUGGGACAGCCAGCCAGGAUCACUUUCGGGGGAAACAAUACUGGUAGCAAAGCUGUGCAUUGGUACCAGCAGAAGCCAGGCCAGUCCCCUGUGCUGGUCAUCUAUAGUGAUAGCAACCGGCCCUCAGGAAUCCCUGAGCGAUUCUCAGGCUCCAACUCAGGGAAUACGGCCACCCUGACCAUCAGCGGGGCCCAGGCUGGGGACGAGGCCGACUAUUACUGUCAGGUGUGGGACGGCGACACUGCUCACAGUGACACAGGCAGAUGGGGAAGUGAGACACUAACUCCUGCCCCAUCUGUGUCACUCCUUCACUCCUGCCAAGGAGGAUUGUAGACGCGCCAUGAGCAG